UAGGGCAUCUGUAGGACCCUGGGC
rnacentral:piRNA from 1 species